UACGGAGGGUGCGAGCGUUGUCCGGAAUCACUGGGCGUAAAGGGCGCGUAGGUGGCGACGCAAGUCAACGGUGAAAGCUCGACGCUCAACGUCGAGUCGGCCGUCGAUACUGCAUCGCUGGAGCACUGUAGAGGCAGAUGGAAUUCCGGGUGUAGCGGUGGAAUGCGUAGAGAUCCGGAAGAACACCGGUGGCGAAGGCGGUCUGCUGGGCAG
rnacentral:rRNA from 1 species